UCUUCUCCAGGUGGAGUACAGCCAGCGCUGCAGCCAGGGGAGAUGCAGCGCUCUAUGUGCCUUUGCAAGCGUGGACGUGAGUAAGUUGCAACGCUGUAAACCCACCCAGCGCUGCAAGUCUCCAGUG